UGAUAAUUAAAAAAAUAAAGUAAACUUCAAAACUUGAUAAUUUGAAUACAAACAAAUACGAAAUGAACUUAAUUUAAAAUAAUAAUAUAGCUUUUGGAGGAAUUAAAGCUGGAAUUUUUUCUAACAAGAAGUUUUCAACAACGUACAGAAGUUAGAAACAAUUUUUGGAAAAAUGAAAAAAGGUUCAACUUAAAUUUGAGAAGGACUCUGAAGAUGAGGCAGCAACGAUCUUGAAAUACAUUUGUAUGCUGAUACCUUAGUUUAAUUAUGUCACAAGAAGAGUGAAUGACAAAAACACAUACAAUAAUGAGAGUGGAGAUAAAGUGUUUAACUUCUUGAGUACCCAAACUCAGAAAAAAGAACUUUCCGAAUUUUGCAUCUUCAACUCAG